GACGAACGCUGGCGGCGUGCUUAACACAUGCAAGUCGAACGGAAAGGCCCUGCUUUUGUGGGGUGCUCGAGUGGCGAACGGGUGAGUAACACGUGAGUAACCUGCCCUUGACUUUGGGAUAACUUCAGGAAACUGGGGCUAAUACCGGAUAGGAGCUCCUGCUGCAUGGUGGGGGUUGGAAAGUUUCGGCGGUUGGGGAUGGACUCGCGGCUUAUCAGCUUGUUGGUGGGGUAGUGGAUUACCAAGGCUUUGACGGGUAGCCGGCCUGAGAGGGUGACCGGCCACAUUGGGACUGCGAUACGGCCCAGACUCCUACGGGAGGCAGCAGUGGGGAAUAUUGCACAAUGGGCGGAAGCCUGAUGCGGCAACGCCGCGUGCGGGAUGACGGCCUUCGGGUUGUAAACCGCUUUCGCCUGUGACGAAGCGUGAGUGACGGUAAUGGGUAAAGAAGCACCGGCUAACUACGUG
rnacentral:rRNA from 1 species